CCUACGGGUGGCAGCAGUGGGGAAUAUUGGACAAUGGGCGAAAGCCUGAUCCAGCCAUGCCGCGUGUGUGAAGAAGGCCUUCGGGUUGUAAAGCACUUUCAGUGGGGAAGAAAGCCUUGGGGCUAAUACCCUCGAGGAAGGACAUCACCCACAGAAGAAGCACCGGCUAACUCCGUGCCAGCAGCCGCGGUAAUACGGAGGGUGCGAGCGUUAAUCGGAAUUACUGGGCGUAAAGCGCGCGUAGGCGGUCUGAUAAGCCGGUUGUGAAAGCCCCGGGCUCAACCUGGGAACGGCAUCCGGAACUGUCAGGCUAGAGUGCAGGAGAGGAAGGUAGAAUUCCCGGUGUAGCGGUGAAAUGCGUAGAGAUCGGGAGGAAUACCAGUGGCGAAGGCGGCCUUCUGGACUGACACUGACGCUGAGGUGCGAAAGCGUGGGUAGCAAACAGGAUUAGAGACCCGGGUAGUC
rnacentral:rRNA from 1 species